UACGUAGGGGGCUAGCGUUGUCCGGAAUCAUUGGGCGUAAAGCGCGUGUAGGCGGUCCGGUAAGUCCGCUGUGAAAGUCGGGGGCUCAACCCUCGAAUGCCGGUGGAUACUGUCGGGCUAGAGUGCGGAAGAGGCGAGUGGAAUUCCUGGUGUAGCGGUGAAAUGCGCAGAUAUCGGGAGGAACACCAAUUGCGAAGGCAGCUCGCUGGGACGGUACUGACGCUGAGGCGCGAAAGCGUGGGGAGCAAACAGG
rnacentral:rRNA from 1 species